rnacentral:misc_RNA from 1 species
UCCCUGUUGCCAGGGCAGUCUGUUUAGAAAAAUACAACUAAACAAAGGGGUUGCGCUCGUUAAAGGACUUAACCUAACAUCUCACGACACGAGCUGACGACGGCCAUGCAACACCUGUCACUUGGCUUCCGAAGACACUUUCUCCUUUCGGAGAAAUUCCAAGGAUGUCAAGCCUGGGUAAGGUUCUUCGCUUACCAUCGAAUUAAACAACACGCUCCACCGCUUGUGCGGGUCCCCGUCAAUUCCUUUAUGUUUUAGUCUUGCGACCGUACUCCACAGGCGGGACGCUUAACGCGUUAGCUUCGCUACAAGAAGGGUCGAUACUUCUUACAGCUAGCGUCCAUAGUUUACAGCGUGGACUAC